UUCUGACCGUAAACGAUGCCAACUAGCGAUCCGCCGGUGGAUUUUUCAGCCCUGGUGGGUAGCUUCCCGGAAACGAAAGUCUUCCGGUUCCGGGGGAAGUAUGGUUGCAAAGCUGAAACUUAAAGGAAUUGACGGAAGGGCACCACCAGGAGUGGAGCCUGCGGCUUAAUUUGACUCAACACGGGGAAACUCACCCGGCCCGGACACCGUAAGGAUUGACAGAUUGAUAGCUCUAUCAUGAUUCGGUGGUUGGUGGUGCAUGGCUCGUUCUUAGUUCGUGGAUCGAUUUGUCUGGUUUAUUCCGAUAACGAGCGAGACUGUAGCCUACUAAAUAGUGACGGAA
rnacentral:rRNA from 1 species